rnacentral:rRNA from 1 species
GAUGAACGCUGGCGGCGUGCUUAACACAUGCAAGUCGAACGAAGCACUUUAUUUGAUUUCCUUCGGGACUGAUUAUUUUGUGACUGAGUGGCGGACGGGUGAGUAACGCGUGGGUAACCUGCCUUGUACAGGGGGAUAACAGUUGGAAACGGCUGCUAAUACCGCAUAAGCGCACAGCAUCGCAUGAUGCAGUGUGAAAAACUCCGGUGGUAUAAGAUGGACCCGCGUUGGAUUAGCUAGUUGGUGAGGUAACGGCCCACCAAGGCGACGAUCCAUAGCCGACCUGAGAGGGUGACCGGCCACAUUGGGACUGAGACACGGCCCAAACUCCUACGGGAGGGAGCAGUGGGGGAUAUUGCACAAUGGGCGAAAGACUGAUGCAGCGACGCCGCGUGAGCGAAGAAGUAUUUCGGUAUGUAAAGCUCUAUCAGCAGGGAAGAUAAUGACGGUACCUGACUAAGAAGCACCGGCUAAAUACGUG